rnacentral:lncRNA from 1 species
CAACAAAAUGGAGGUCAAGUUCAAUAAUGACGAUUUUGACUUUUACCGUUCAGGAGUUACGGUUCUUGAAAGUUUAAAAAAUGUUGUGUCCGUGCAUUUACUCAUGAACCGUUCAACCAAACCUUUUAAAAUUUUAAUAUGUUGUUACUGACAACAUAACGGAGGUCAAGUUCAAUAAUGACGAUUUUUACUUUUACCGUUCAGGAGUUACAGUUCUUGAAAGUUUAAAA